GUAGAGAGGUAACGAAUACUGAAGACUGUUGUAUGUAACAUGAAAGUACGAGAGAUCUACGGUGUGAAACAGCUCAAGUUAAAGUCUGUGAGGUGUGGCACAGCAAAAUGUUCUUGGAGAGCUGUGAAGACUAGUUCAUAAGGAGAAUAUGAACGAUAGCAUGGACAGACAAAGUAUCUAAGGAAGAAGGAACGAAUCGGGCUGCGGUAAAUAGCAAACAGCUUCGUGAGACAAGGGCGAAGCAAAUGAGAUUUUUUGGUCUUGUGAUGAGGAAAGAGGGCCUGAACAAUUUAGCGAGGACUGGAAAGACAGAAGAAGGAUUCCAACUUUAUGAUAAAUUCCUUGUGAAUAUCAAAGGCCUGUUAGUCAUGGAAAAGUUACUAAUAACAUGGCGACUGCAAGCUAAGAAGUUGAUACAUCUUUUAAUCUGGCAGAAAAGGCAAACCGAGAUAAAUAUGGUCGCAAUGUGUUGCACUGGCAAAUAAUGGAAGCUACAAUAUUGUGACCGUCAGCUGUAAAGCGGUGCAGCCAUUAAAACAUGCUCCUUCACGAGACUAUAUCAGUUGCAAAUAAUGAAGGAAAUACUUACUAAAAUUACUCUUUUAAAUAUCAAAUUUCCUGAAAUAUAGAA